rnacentral:lncRNA from 1 species
UAAGACUAGGUUAGAAAUAAAUCAAGAAUAAAUAGUAAAUUAAUCAAGAAAAUUAUGAAAAAUUAAAAUCAAUAAGUUGGGGUCAGGAUAUCAUCAUCCCCCAAAAAGAUUUUAAAAAUAACGAAAAUUGAUACAUAAAUUAAUUAAAAUAAAACAGAGGUCAAACCAAAAGUCAAUUAGUGAGACUAGGUUAGAAAUAAAUCAAGAAUAAAUAGUAAAUUAACCAAUAAAAUUAUUAAAAAUUAAAAUAAAUAAGAUGGGGUCAGGAUAUCAUUGUUCCCA